GCCAGCAUCCCUGCUGGGGCUCGGCUCUCUGAUCCUCCAGGGUCAGCGGCAGCGGGAGUCCCUUGGGUUUGGGGCCGGUUCCUGCCCUGGGCCGGGCGGUCAGAGGAGGGGGCCGGCCUCGCGGGGCUCCCUCCUCCCCUCCAGCAGCGGCUGACGGGAUGAGAGGCCCCGAGAAGAACCGUCCAGCCCUCUGGACACAGGCCUGCGUGUGGCCGUUGCUGGGAGUCAGGAGCAGGACAGCAGUAACCCAAUGACAGAGACUCACCCGUGUGCACCCCGCCACCUGGGGCCACCAGAAAACACUACUUAAACUCUCACCUGCAAUAUUCUCCAAAAUUGAUCUAGGGUAGUAUUUGGUGGCCUCGAAAUUCUUCUGGCUGCUUGUGAGCGUCUGACAGGUUGUUCUGAUGCAACAAUUAUGUCUUGGAGAAAAGGAUUGGAGGCUCAGUACAAAUACUCUGAACCAUUUCUCAGUUCGCGGUCAUUCACAUGCUGACUUUAGCUUGAGGGAAGAGCUGUGUGGCUUUCUCAAUUGUUCUCCAUGGAGUGUGAACAUUUCUUGUAAGUCGAAAUAACUACGUCAUGUA
rnacentral:lncRNA from 1 species